rnacentral:rRNA from 2 species
UGGGGAAUCUUGCACAAUGGACGAAAGUCUGAUGCAGCGACGCCGCGUGAGCGAUGAAGCCCUUCGGGGUGUAAAGCUCUUUCGACAGGAACGAUAAUGACGGUACCUGGAGAAGAAGCUGCGGCUAACUACGUGCCAGCAGCCGCGGUAAUACGUAGGCAGCAAGCGUUGUUCGGAAUUACUGGGCGUAAAGCGUGCGUAGGCGGUGGCUCAAGUUUGGUGUGAAAUCUCCCGGCUCAACUGGGAGGGUGCGCCGAAAACUGAGUUGCUCGAGUGUGGGAGAGGUAGGCGGAAUUCCUGGUGUAGCGGUGAAAUGCGUAGAUAUCAGGAGGAACACCGGCGGUGUAGACGGCUUACUGGACCAUAACUGACGCUGAGGCACGAAAGUGUGGGGAGCAAACAGG